CGCGAAGAACCUUACCUGGUCUUGACAUCCACAGAACUUUCCAGAGAUGGAUUGGUGCCUUCGGGAGCUGUGAGACAGGUGCUGCAUGGCUGUCGUCAGCUCGUGUUGUGAAAUGUUGGGUUAAGUCCCGCAACGAGCGCAACCCUUAUCCUUUGUUGCCAGCGGUCCGGCCGGGAACUCAAAGGAGACUGCCAGUGAUAAACUGGAGGAAGGUGGGGAUGACGUCAAGUCAUCAUGGCCCUUACGACCAGGGCUACACACGUGCUACAAUGGCGCAUACAAAGAGAAGCGACCUCGCGAGAGCAAGCGGACCUCAUAAAGUGCGUCGUAGUCCGGAUUGGAGUCUGCAACUCGACUCCAUGAAGUCGGAAUCGCUAGUAAUCGUGGAUCAGAAUGCCACGGUGAAUACGUUCCCGGGUCUUGUACACACC
rnacentral:rRNA from 1 species